rnacentral:rRNA from 1 species
AAGCCUACGGGACGCAGCAGUGGGGAAUAUUGGGCAAUGGGCGCAAGCCUGACCCAGCAACGCCGCGUGAAGGAAGAAGGCUUUCGGGUUGUAAACUUCUUUUGACAGGGAAGAGUAGAAGACGGUACCUGUCGAAUAAGCCACGGCUAACUACGUGCCAGCAGCCGCGGUAAUACGGAGGAUGCGAGCGUUAUCCGGAUUUAUUGGGUUUAAAGGGUGCGCAGGCGGGAUGCCAAGUCAGCGGUAAAAAUGCGGUGCUCAACGCCGUCGAGCCGUUGAAACUGGCGUUCUUGAGUGGGCGAGAA